GGCGUGCUUAACACAUGCAAGUCGAACGAAGCACUUUACCGGAUUUCUUCGGGAUGAAUGUUUUGUGACUGAGGGGCGGACGGGUGAGUAACGCGUGGGUAACCUGCCUCAUACGGGGGGAUAACAGUUAAAAAUGACUGCUAAUACCGCGAAACACCACAGGAUUGCAUGAUCCGGGGGAAAAACCUCCGGUGGUAUGAGAUGGACCCGCGUCUGAUUAGGUAGUUGGCGGGAUAACGGCUCACCAAGCCGACGAUCAGUAGCCGACCUGAGAGGGUGACCGGCCACAUUGGGACUGAGACACGGCCCAAACUCCUACGGGAGGCAGCAGUGGGGAAUAUUGCACAAUGGGGGAAACCCUGAUGCAGCGACGCCGCGUGAGCGAUGAAGUAUUUCGGUAUGUAAAGCUCUAUCAGCAGGGAAGAAAAUGACGGUACCUGACUAAGAAGCACCGGCUAAAUACGUGCCAGCAGCCGCGGUAAUACGUAUGGUGCAAGCGUUAUCCGGAUUUACUGGGUGUAAAGGGAGCGUAGACGGAGAGGCAAGUCUGAUGUGAAAACCCGGGGCUCAACCCCGGGACUGCAUUGGAAACUGUUUUUCUAGAGUGUCGGAGAGGUAAGUGGAAUUCCUAGUGUAGCGGUGAAAUGCGUAGAUAUUAGGAGGAACACCAGUGGCGAAGGCGGCUUACUGGACGAUGACUGACGUUGAGGCUCGAAAGCGUGGGGAGCAAACAGGAUUAGAUACCCUGGUAGUCCACGCCGUAAACGAUGACUGCUAGGUGUCGGGAGGCAAAGCCUUUCGGUGCCGCAGCAAACGCAAUAAGCAGUCCACCUGGGGAGUACGUUCGCAAGAAUGAAACUCAAAGGAAUUGACGGGGACCCGCACAAGCGGUGGAGCAUGUGGUUUAAUUUGAAGCAACGCGAAGAACCUUACCUGCCCUUGACAUCCGGUUGACCGGCGAGUAAUGUCGCCUUUCCUUCGGGACAGCCGAGACAGGUGGUGCAUGGUUGUCGUCAGCUCGUGUCGUGAGAUGUUGGGUUAAGUCCCGCAACGAGCGCAACCCUUAUCUUUAGUAGCCAGCAUUUCGGAUGGGCACUCUAGAGAGACUGCCAGGGAUAACCUGGAGGAAGGUGGGGAUGACGUCAAAUCAUCAUGCCCCUUAUGGGCAGGGCUACACACGUGCUACAAUGGCGUAAACAAAGGGAGGCAGACCUGCGAGGGUGAGCAAAUCCCAAAAAUAACGUCUCAGUUCGGAUUGUAGUCUGCAACUCGACUACAUGAAGCUGGAAUCGCUAGUAAUCGCGAAUCAGAAUGUCGCGGUGAAUACGUUCCCGGGUCUUGCACA
rnacentral:rRNA from 1 species